AACGUAGGACACAAGCGUUAUCCGGAGUUACUGAGCGUAAGGGCGUGUAGGCGGAGGUGUAAGUCUAUUCUGAAAGCUCCUGGCUAACUGGAGAGCGAUGAGACUGCAUAUCUAGAGUGAGGAAGAGGAAGUGGAAUUCCGCGAUGUAGUGGUGAAAUGCGUAGAGAUGCGGAGGAACACCAGUGGCGAAGCGACUUCUGGUCCUUAACUGACGCUGAGGCGCGAAAGCAUGGGAGCGAACGGG
rnacentral:rRNA from 1 species